AUGUUGGUAUAUGUUGUUGAUGUCAUCAUCAAUGGUAGCAAAUGUAACUUCAGUCAGCAAGUAGUUACCAAAUUGAACUCAGUACUCUCUCUCAAAGAAGUUGGAGACUCGGAUUAUUUGUUAAGCGUUAAAGUCAAAUCUCGAGAUAAUGGAUCUCUUCUAUCUCAAGGAAAGCAUCUAAGGAAAGCAUACAAGUACAAGCUUUUGUUGACUCGUGAUAAAACAAAAUACAGCAAGGUCUCAAGGAUUCUAGUUUGUAAUACAAAUAAAUGCAAAUAG